rnacentral:rRNA from 1 species
UGGGGAAUCUUGGACAAUGGGGGAGACCCUGAUCCAGCCAUGCCGCGUGUGUGACGAAGGUCUUAGGAUCGUAAAGCACUUUCGCCGGGGAAGAUAAUGACGGUACCCGGUAAAGAAGCCCCGGCUAACUCCGUGCCAGCAGCCGCGGUAAUACGGAGGGGGCUAGCGUUGUUCGGAAUUACUGGGCGUAAAGGGCACGUAGGCGGAUCAGCCAGUCAGGGGUGAAAUCCCGGGGCUCAACCCCGGAACUGCCCUUGAUACUGUUGGUCUUGAGUCCGAGAGAGGUGAGUGGAAUUCCGAGUGUAGAGGUGAAAUUCGUAGAUAUUCGGAAGAACACCGGUGGCGAAGGCGGCUCACUGGCUCGGUACUGACGCUGAGGUGCGAAAGUGUGGGGAGCAAACAGGAUUAGAUACCCCCGUAGUCC